rnacentral:misc_RNA from 1 species
GAUGAAGAACUCAGCGAAAUGCGAUAAGUAAUGUGAAUUGCAGAAUUCAGUGAAUCAUCGAAUCUUUGAACGCACAUUGCGCCCCCUGGUAUUCCGGGGGGCAUGCCUGUCCGAGCGUCAUUACAACCCUCAAGCUCAGCUUGGUAUUGGGCCCCGCCGCUCCGGCGGGCCCUAAAGUCAGUGGCGGUGCCGUCCGGCUCCGAGCGUAGUAAUUCUUCUCGCUCUGGAGGUCCGGUCGUGUGCUCGCCAGCAACCCCCAAUUUUUUUCAGGUUGACCUCGGAUCAGGUAGGGAUACCCGCUGAACUUAAGCAUAUCAAUAAGCGGAGGA